UACGAAGGGGGCUAGCGUUGUUCGGAAUUACUGGGCGUAAAGCGCACGUAGGCGGAUUUUUAAGUCAGGGGUGAAAUCCCGCAGCUCAACUGCGGAAUUGCCUUUGAUACUGUCUAUCUUGAGUCCGGAAGAGGUAAGUGGAAUUCCUAGUGUAGAGGUGAAAUUCGUAGAUAUUAGGAAGAACACCAGUGGCGAAGGCGGCUCACUGGCCCGGUACUGACGCUCAUGUGCGAAAGCGUGGGGAGCAAACAGG
rnacentral:rRNA from 1 species